GAUGAAGAACGUAGCGAAAUGCGAUAAGUAAUGUGAAUUGCAGAAUUCCGUGAAUCAUCGAAUCUUUGAACGCACAUUGCACCCUCUGGUAUUCCGGGGGGCAUGCCUGUCCGAGCGUCAUUUGCAACCCUCAAGCCCGGCUUGUGUGAUGGGUGCCGUCCCCUACGGGACGCGCCCCGAAGGCAAUGGCGGCGUCGCGGUUAUCCGAUCAGCCAAAGUGUAUGGGGCUUUGUCACUCACUUUACGGCCCGGACCGGCGCCAGUCCGAAUCAAUCUUUUUUCUAAAGUUGACCUCGGAUCAGGUAGGGAUACCCGCUGAACUUAAGCAUAUCAAUAAGCGGAGGA
rnacentral:misc_RNA from 1 species